GUGCUGUUGCUGCCCUAGGUACGCCAAGGAACAGAGGAGGGCAGGUAUCUUCUGGCCAGCCUCCGGAGUCAAAUCAAGAUUUGAGGUACCCUGAGGAGGCUCUUACCCAAAGCUUAGAAACGGCAACACCGAAGCACACGCGGAGAACAUCUCAACGUCCACGUGCGACCGAGGAUGGAUUUUGUCCGCUCCUCUUCCAAAAGCUAAGUGUCGGGGCCAGUGGUUUGGAGAAGGGGAAAAACCUUUACUAUCACAGGGGGCAAUUUCAUGUCAGCUUAGCGGAGAGGUCUGUAUCGGGACAGGCUCUCUGGAAGUAAAGGGAGAGGGUUUCUCCUCAGCCUCACCAGAGCCUUUGCCGGGCAGGGCAGUUCCAACCCAUCUCCACGUUCUCGGGAACUUUGCGUUGUCCGCCUUCCUCGGCCCGACGUCGUCACGGAUCUUUUCCCCGAGGAGCUCGCCUUCAGGUCCGGAGCUACGGCCACGGUCACCCGGCAGUCGGCUUCCUUCUCUAGGCUCGCUGAGCCUCUCGAGCAUCCUCUUAACUGCUUUGGCACUAACUUCUUUUAAGGAGUUAUGUUUCAUCAUCACGUGCCAUCAUCAUAGGGCUUUCUUUCCUUUGGCAUCAUCGGCCUCUGGCUCAUCUUGCGCUAUGAAUCUCGGGUCCAUAAGUUGAAAGUGCUAGGCAGUUUACUCGUGUCUCUGUUAUGCCAUCCGUGUCUAUGUUGUGUCAUCCGUGUUAUGUAGUCUGUGUCUAUUGUCUUCCGUGUCAUAGGCCUUUGUUACAUCUCGAUGCUUUACAGGCACUAUUUUGUGCCAUAUAGGCAGUAUUUUACUCACAUUCCUUCCCAGAUAUAGCUUAUUCUAGCAUCUUUACAUUUUUACUCUUUGAGACAGGAAAGGAUUACAAGAUUUUCUCAUCCAUCUUCCUUCUCACUACCAGCUUUGGUAGUGGUUUU